UACGAAGGGUGCAAGCGUUAUUCGGAGUUACUGGGCGUAAAGAGCGCGUAGGCGGCCUAUUAAGUCGAUUGUUAAAGACCUUGGCUCAACUGGGGAACUGCAAUUGAAACUGAUGGGCUAGAGGUUAAGAGAGAGAAGUAGAAUUCUUGGAGUAGCGGUAAAAUGCGUAGAUCUCAAGAGGAAUACCGGUUGCGAAGGCAGCUUCUUGGCUUACACCUGACGCUGAGGUGCGAAAGCGUGGGGAGCAAACAGG
rnacentral:rRNA from 1 species